UAAGACAGAGGCCCCGAGCGUUAGGCGGAAUCACUGGGCUUAAAGCGUGUGUAGGCGGGCCCGUAAGUGUCUUGUGAAAUCCCACGGCUCAACCGUGGAACUGCUGGGCAUACUGCGGGUCUUGGGCCAACUAGGGGCAGCCGGAACAAGCGGUGGAGCGGUGAAAUGCGUAGAUAUCGCUUGGAACGCCGAAGGUGAAAACAGGCUGCUGGGGUUGCGCCGACGCUGAGACACGAAAGCCAGGGGAGCAAACGGGAUUAGAUACCCCGGUAGUCCUGGCCCUAAACGAUGUCCACUAGAUCGCGGAGCGGUUUGACCCGCUCGCGGUCGGAGCAAAAGUGUUAAGUGGACCGCCUGGGAAGUACGGUCGCAAGGCUA
rnacentral:rRNA from 1 species